UACGUAGGGGGCAAGCGUUGUCCGGAAUCAUUGGGCGUAAAGAGCGUGUAGGCGGCCAGAUAAGUCCGCUGUGAAAUCUCGAGGCUCAACUUCGAGCUGUCGGUGGAAACUGUCUGGCUAGAGUCCGGAAGAGGAGAAUGGAAUUCCUGGUGUAGCGGUGAAAUGCGCAGAUAUCGGGAGGAACACCGGUGGCGAAGGCGGUUCUCUGGGCCUGUACUGACGCUGAGGAGCGAAAGCGUGGGGAGCGAACAGG
rnacentral:rRNA from 1 species